UCGCACAGCUGUCUUCGCAGACAAAGCUUGCUAGCUCUACACACUCACAGAAGUUCAGAAAUGGCUGCGAAGUUCCCAAUUCUUCUUGGUGUCAUAUUGGCCACUCUCCUUCUCGUCUCCCACGAUGUAGCGCAUGCAGCAGAACAAGCGGGGCCAUCGGAGCCACAACUUCCAGAGGGGUAUGGUUCAGGCUAUAUGCAACCUGGGUACCGUGGUGCCUAUACCGGAGGUGGUGGCAACGGUCAAAACGGUGGUGGUGGCAGUGGUUAUUAUCAUAAUCCUUGAUGUGGAUCAGUAUUGCUAUAGGUGGUGGUAUGCAAUAGACAACGCUAUGUGUGUCUAUCUAGCUAUGAAAUAAGGCAUCGUUCAUCAGCUUGAAAACACUUUCUAUCUCUAUGUGUUUUUUUUUUUGGCGAACCUAUCUAUCUAUGUGUAUCGAUCUAGCUACCGAAUUUGACAUCGUUCGUCAGCUUGAAACGCUUGGAUAAAAACUGGAUUGUUUUGCUGACAGAAUUGAAGAUAAAGAUCCAUAAGUUUUAUAGAUAA